GACGAACGCUGACGGUGUGCUUUAGACAUGCAAGUCGAACGAGAAAGCCCUUCGGGGUGAGUACAGUGGCGAACGGGUGAGUAACACGUGGGCAAUCUGCCCCUCGCAGGGGGACAACCGGGGGAAACCCCGGCUAAUACCCCGUACGCUUGUAGAGUCGCAUGGCUCUACAAGGAAAGGUAGCUUCGGCCAUCCGGCGAGGGAUGAGCCCGCGGUGCAUUAGCUAGUUGGUGAGGUAAUGGCUCACCAAGGCGACGAUGCAUAGCUGGUGUGAGAGCAUGACCAGCGCCACUGGCACUGAGACACUGGCCAGACACCUACGGGUGGCUGCAGUCGAGAAUCUUCGGCAAUGGGCGCAAGCCUGACCGAGCGACGCCGCGUGUGCGAUGAAGGCCUUCGGGUUGUAAAGCACUGU
rnacentral:rRNA from 1 species